rnacentral:rRNA from 1 species
UACGAAGGGUGCAAGCGUUACUCGGAAUUACUGGGCGUAAAGCGUGCGUAGGUGGUUUGUUAAGUCUGUUGUGAAAGCCCCGGGCUCAACCUGGGAAUGGCAAUGGAUACUGGCAGGCUAGAGUGCGGUAGAGGGUAGUGGAAUUCCCGGUGUAGCGGUGAAAAUGCGUAGAGAUCGGGAGGAACACCAGUGGCGAAGGCGGCGACCUGGUCCAUUACUGACGCUGAGGCGCGACAGCGUGGGGAGCAAACAGG